CACAGUACAACAUACUAGUCACAAGUUACUUCCUCUGUGGGUAAUGGCUCAUCCAGCAGGGCUGCGAUCUGAUCACUGUUUGAUGUGUCGGCAAAUAGUGCGUCCUUUACAGGAAGCACUACUAUGUGAAGGAUGUCAGCGCUGGCAGCACAGGACGUGUGGCAGUGGAAUAACAAGGAUGGAGUACCGGAAAGCUGUAGAAUUAAGACAAGACAUAGAUUGGGUGUGUAACCAAUGCAAGGAGAAUGAAAAUGAAACUGUUGGUAGUCCUGUGGAAUGUGCAAUGCCUAUAGAAAAUGCGACUGACAUGAGCAUACAUAGCAUGGAUACUGAAAAUGGAGCUACUCCCGUGGAAUGUGUUAUGCAAAUAGAAAAUGUAACUGACGUAAGCAUGGACACUGAAAAUGAAUGUAAAACGGGUGCUAUUUACGUAGAAGAUCUCUUACCCACAGAUAUACAUACGGUUCUCGAGGAAAUUAUUUAUGAAAAAGUGUUACAAUCAUCUCAAAGAGGAAGUGACAAGUUAAUUGACAGUUUGGGCUAUUCAUAUACAAUAAAACGAAAAACAAGUGUUGCAGUUCACUGGAGAUGUGUUGUGAGGAAUACAAGAGUAACAUGCGAGGCUAAAACAAAAGAAAUGGACGGCAUAUAUGAAAGAGGUACCAAUCAACAUUGCCAUCCUCCAGAGGCCUGCCCGUUAAUUGCAAGCAAAUUUCGUCUACGAUCAAGAAAAAGGCCAUGGAAGACGUGUUUCGGUCUGCUGCAGACAUCGUUGAUGAGGUCUUGUGUGAUGAAGUAGACCCCAGUAAGUCUCUACUCUCGUUACCUGCGCCACAAAACCUUCCCAGGCAAGGAAAUCGUAAGCGGAAGGCUGCACGUCCUGCAGAACCAUUAGAUUUGAGUUUUGAGUUAAGUGAAACACACAUUCCUGAAAACUCCCUGCAAUACGAUAUUACUGUUGGUGAUAGACGACAUUUGAUGUUUUCCACACAGGAGCAACUGUCCCUGCUCAGGAGGGCAAAGCAUUAGUAUGCCGAUGCUACUUUUAAAGUUGUACGACGCCCAUUCACACAAUUAUUCAGCAUUCAUACAUUUGUACAUUGUGAUAACAACCUUAAAACAAGUGCCGCUGUUGUUUGUAAUGAUGUCAGGAAAGAGGCGCAAGGAUUACAAGAAAGUGUUUGGCAAGAUUAAAGACCUUCUGGGUGAACUAAAACUUGAAGCUCUAGCCAUCGAUUUUAAACAAAGUGUCUGGCGUGCAGUUGCAGAAAUCAUGCCUCAUGUACCUAUGAAUGGUUGCAGCUUUCAUUGGGGCCAGGUGGUGUGGAGAAAGAUACAAGAAUUUGGCUUACAAGUGCCAUACACAAAUGACGCCGGUAUGCACAAAUACCUCAGAAAAGUUCUGUCAUUACCCUACGUACCAGCUGAGCAUAUUGAAGAACUAUUCAUAAGAUUUUACAGAAAAACAAAUGGAUGUCAAGCACUUGUUGAUCUUUUGAAUUAUAUAAGGAAUACAUGGAUCGACUCGACUAUUUGGCCUCCUUCUACGUGGUGUGCUUUUGGACGAAGCAUACGCACAAAUAACGAUGUGGAAGGAUGGCACCACCGGUUAAAUUUGAAAGCAAGAAAAGAACAGCUUAGUUUUUACUUACUUAUUAACCUAUUACACAAAAAAGCCAGACUGGUUACACUACAAGUGCGUCUCCUGUCUGAUGGAAAAGUUUUACGUAAACAAAGUACAAAAUACAAAAAAACAACAUGGUCAACUUGUAAAACUCUGGGAAGAAUGCAACGCUGGUGAGAAGUCGGCAAAAAAUCUCCUUAAAGCCGUAUCUUACCACAUCGCAGUGUACACUAGAUUUUUUUUUUUACCAUUGUUUUAAAAAUUUUUACCAUUCUUUUUUACUUUUAUACUUUGAUUUUUUUUUUUUAAUCUACAUCAGCUUGUAUUUUCAUUUACAUGAUUUAUUUUUAUAUAUGCCAUGAAUAAAAGUAUUUUAAUAA